CCUACGGGAGGCAGCAGUGAGGAAUAUUGGUCAAUGGACGAGAGUCUGAACCAGCCAAGUAGCGUGAAGGAUGACUGAUCUAUGGGUUGUAAACUUCUUUUAUAAAGGAAUAAAACGAGGCACGUGUGCCUUUUUGCAUGUACUUUAUGAAUACGGAUCGGCUAACUCCGUGCCAGCAGCCGCGGUAAUACGGAGGGUCCGAGCGUUAUCCGGAUUUAGUGGGUUUAAAGGGAGCGUAGAUGGGUUGUUAAGUCAGGUGUGAAAGUUUGCGGAUCAACUGUAAAAUUGCAAUUGAAACUGGCAAUCUUGAGUACAGUUGAGGUAGGCGGAAUUCGUGGUGUAGCGGUGAAAUGCUUAGAUAUCACGACGAACCCCGAUUGCGAAGGCAGCUUACUAAACUGUGACUGACAUUGAUGCUCGAAAGUGUGGGUAUCAAACAGGAUUAGAUACCCGAGUAGUC
rnacentral:rRNA from 1 species